rnacentral:lncRNA from 1 species
UUGGCAUCCUCACGAUUUCAUUACGAUCUGAUGGUAAAUCUCUUAUUAAACGUCUAUGUCCACCUUUACAGUCCCUAUUUGAGCACCAAUAGGAAACCAAACCACAUUGGUUCUACUCGAACCCUCGUAACCGUAGUCUACCAUUAGAGGCAUCACGAGAACCAGUCACCCGUUGUGGUAGAUUUUCCGGGCAUCAACCGUUGCCGCACGACACCAGUACGGUAGCCGCCAUCAUUGCAGCACCACCACGGUGGAGUUGUUCAGUGGGGGAAAAUGUUCCACUGUUCAUCUUUAUCGAAAUGUUCGUUGUUGUUUAAGAGUACUUCAAGGAGUGGACUCUCAGGUGUGGUUGGUUAUGCACUAGUAGGGAAGAAUGUGGGGAGCACGUAAGUUUUUCAAGAAGAGGAUAUGAAACAUUAUUCAUGGCCAGUAUAGUUAAAAGCAUCAGAAGUGGAUAAAGAUGAUGAGAAUGUACACUCGACACUGACACAUAUUUAAACUUUUUGAGGGUUGUUACAUGCCGUACCAAGAGACCACAUAUGAACUUGAUUGGGAUCCCCAAGUUGAUGUUGUAACUUGAGCUGGCUCAAAAGCACACUCGGAGUCUCCUACUGGUUGUAUAGUUCAAGGAUGAGUUUUCUAAAAAGAAGCACCUAAAUGAGUCAUCAUCUUAGUGGGCUAAUGUGAUAUGCCACAUGCAAGAGAUACAUGCGCCAGAACAAGCCUCAGGGGAUUUUGGGUUAAUUGAGACCCAAGGAAACAUUUGAAGAACAUGGUCCCUGGUCUCACUCGACUCCCAGCUAAUGGGGCACGAGAAAUCACUUGGCUUCGCCCAACAAUGGCCUUGGAGUGAUGUUACGCCUGCAAUGGUUUAAAUAGUUCCAAAGUCAUCACCGCAGUUCCAAAGUGGAAGCAAAACUUGUGAGUAAUUCGCACACGUUUUUCCAUCUGAUAUUUACAUUGGCGAGCAUGUGUUCUGACAUGCUUUUAUUGGGAUGGAGCAGUUUGGAAAACUUGGAUCUAAUUGAUGUCGGGUGGCUGGUCAUUGAUUGAAUUGUUUACAACUUGAAUUUGGUAGCUAGCUGGUCAUUGAUUUUGCAAUCAAAUCUUGGAGCAUUCCACAAAGGCAAAAUGAUUGGAUAUAAAUUUGCAACAAUUUCAAGUCUAAAAGCAGUGAGUAUAUGGAUUUGAAGACGACAACCUAGAAUUAGUUCUUAGUUUAUGUGUAGAUGCAUUCCCUUUGCAACUUUUGUAGAUAGGUUUUGAUUAUAAGUUUAUGUCUUUAAUUAGUAUUUAAAUUGAAAACUUAUGUAUGGAUUUUGGUUUAUUAUUGUUAAUAUCGUUUGGUUUUUAGGU